rnacentral:rRNA from 1 species
GCUGCCGUGUUUGAAGAAGGCCUUUUGGUUGUAAAGCACCUUUAAGCAGGGAAGAGACUCAUGGUUAAUACCCAUGGACGAUGACAUUAGCUGCAGAAUUAAGCACCGGCUAACUCUGUGCCAGCAGCCGCGGUAAUACAGAGGGUGCAAGCGUUAAUCGGAAUUACUGGGCGUAAAGCGAGCGUAGGUGGCUUGAUAAGUCAGAUGUGAAAGCCCCGGGCUUAACCUGGGAACGGCAUCUGAUACUGUUAGGCUAGAGUAGGUGAGAGGAAGGUAGAAUUCCAGGUGUAGCGGUGAAAUGCGUAGAGAUCUGGAGGAAUACCGAUGGCGAAGGCAGCCUUCUGGCAUCAUACUGACACUGAGGUUCGAAAGCGUGGGUAGCAAACACGGAUCUAGAUACCCUGGUAGUCCACGCCGUAAACGAUGUCUACUAGUCGUUGGGUCCCUUGAGGACUUAGUGACGCAGCUAACGCAAUAAGUAGACCGCCUGGGGAGUACGGCCGCAAGGUUAAAACUCAAAUGAAUUGACGGGGGCCCGCACAAGCGGUGGAGCAUGUGGUUUAAUUCGAUGCAACGCGAAGAACCUUACCUGGUCUUGACAUAUCUAGAAUCCUGCAGAGAUGUGGGAGUGCCUUCGGGAAUUAGAAUACAGGUGCUGCAUGGCUGUCGUCAGCUCGUGUCGUGAGAUGUUGGGUUAAGUCCCGCAACGAGCGCAACCCUUGUCCUUAGUUACCAGCGGUUUGGCCGGGAACUCUAAGGAUACUGCCAGUGACAAACUGGAGGAAGGCGGGGACGACGUCAAGUCAUCAUGGCCCUUACGACCAGGGCUACACACGUGCUACAAUGGUAGGUACAGAGGGCAGCUACACAGCGAUGUGAUGCGAAUCUCAAAAAGCCUAUCGUAGUCCAGAUUGGAGUCUGCAACUCGACUCCAUGAAGUAGGAAUCGCUAGUAAUCGCGGAUCAGAAUGCCGCGGUGAAUACGUUCCCGGGCCUUGUACACACCGCCCGUCACACCAUGGGAGUUGAUUGCACCAGAAGUGGGUAGCUUAACCUUGAGCUAUGCGCGCACACUGGGAGCAGCCCAACUGAGAGAGGUAAGCUGAA